AAAAGAAAAAGACAAAUCAAAUUAUAUGUGUUGACAAGAGAGCAUAUAGCAUGAGAGUUGAACGUGUAAAGCAGUUGGGUAAUUUGAAGCAAAAAACACGUGUUUGCAAAGAAAAUCAAAAUCGUAUAUCUUCUUAAUAAAUUAUUAAAGUAAGAAGAGGGGGUGGGGGAAUAAAUUAUCUUGUAAUAUAUGUCAAAACUUGCGUUCACACAUAAUUAACACAUUUAAUGAUCAUAGUUUAUAAUACUCAUCGUCCAUUAUUUUAUAAAUUUUCAUUUUAAUUUGUCACUUUUGAUAUAUUUUCAAAAAGUAAAUCUUUUUUAUAUUUUAUUUUUAGUAUUAAUUAUUUAUUAAUUUCUCAAACUAUUUUUUAAUAUCUAAUACUAAUUAACUAUUAAUUAAUAGGGAUAAUGUGAGAAAAUAAUCAUUUUUAUGUAGAUUUUUGAUAGAAUUUAUUACUAGGUUAAUCCGUUGAAGUUAUUUUUAUUUAUGCAUUCUGAUAGAUAAUUUAUUUUAUUUUCAUUCACAAAUCGCAGGUUUAUUGCUGAAAAGUUAUUUAUUAUUAUAUUCUAAGUAACUUAAUAACGUAAAAAAAUUUAUACUAUCAUAUAAUUUAUAUUAUAUAUAUAAAUAAAAGUUAAACUCUAAUAUACCAAGUAAAUAUAUAUAUUUUCUAUUAGAGUAAUAAUAAAUAAAAUAAUAAUACAUUAAUUUACAUAAUCUCAAAAAUUUGAUGCAAGAGUAGAUAUAGAGUUCACAUUAUAUUUCUUUAGAUAGAGGGUUGUCAUAGUUUUAGCUCAAACUCAAUUAUUAUUUUAAAAGUGUUAUUAAAUAAGUAUAAAUUAUUAAUUUCGAAUCUACCAACUUAAAAAUGGUAAUCCCUUAACGUUUUCAGCUUAGAUAAAUCUAAAAAAGCGUGUGAAACGUCCUUUAAAAAAAAAAUCCAAUUCAACGAUCUAAAAUAAUAUUAACAAGUACAUACAUAUCUUCUACGUAAUUUCUACUUUCUUUGAUUUGACAAUCUCUUUCCUAAAGGGUGCAAUUAAGUCAUGCUAUUCAUACAGCCCCCCACUUUUGACUAUUCAUAAAUACCUUUUUUCCACAACCUUAUAUAUAGGUACACCAAAACCCCCUCAUUGCCUCAUCAAACUCAUCAACUAUAUUGUUCUAUACCCAAAAAAUAAUAAUCAAAGAAACAAACUAAGUCAAGAAUCCAAGUAGAAAAUAGUUGUUACAUUCAAGUUAAUUAGAUAUGAAAGCAGAAGGUUAUUUGUUGUCACUCAAGAUGCUAAACAAGAAUAAUAAUGAAAAUAUCAGCGCGCCUAAACGUGUUAGCAAUGUUGGUGGUUCUCAAGAUGAAAAUAAUUGUAGUACUAAGACAUCAUCGUUGAGGUUGAGAUUCAAGAAUUCGUGUUUGAGGAAGAAAAAGAGAAUAUACAAAUUGCGCAAUUGGUUCAUUGACUCAAUUUUAUUCAAGAUUGCCUCUCUCUUUGAAGCAAUUGUUAUGGUUUCUACCUUAGCUUUCUUCUUAUUCUCUUAUGGUUUUCGUAUUUGAUUCGUAUUUAUAUUUUUAUAUAUAUUCUCUGUAAACCAAGGGUUCAUUAUUAUUGGACAAAAGUUGAUAUCUAAUAGGGGUAUAAGGUUCAUUUGAUUUAUUAAUUUAGUUUUCUUUAUUGAUAUUCUCAUGUUUAUACACUAGGAUUCCCAUUUUGCCGUUUAGUUUUUCGAUUUAGAUAUUUUCAAUAAAAUACAUAAUUCAAUAAAUAAGUAAAUAACAUAUAUAAUGAGAUUUUAACAUCAAAAUAUGAGAUUUUGAUUGGUAAAUGGUAAGAUUUUCAAGAACUCAAAUUUUUAGCUUAAAUGGAGAUUUUGACCUCCAAGUAGGUCCCUUUUCAAAAUAAUUUUUCACCAAUGAGUUUCUAAAGUUUUGAGUAUUGCUUUCAAGUAUUAAAUUUCGGAUUCAAACUUUUCCUUUUGAAAUUGGGUUUGAGUGAGUUGACCCAUUGUGCUAAGCAAUUGAUGUGGGUAUUGUUGUUUCCGGAAAGUGAUUGUGGAUACUUGCUUGUAUAUUGAUUGAUUUAAGACAAGCGAUCUCCUAAACCUUGUAUUCUAGUAGAAUCGUGUAUUCCCUUUGUUGUUUGUGUAUUGGAAAUAAUGGGGAUGGGGUGAAAGGUUAAUUGUCCACUUGAUAAAUCUUAAUGGAUAGAAAGGGUUGAAAUUGAAAAGGUUAUGUGAUGAACAAGAUGAUGUGAAUUGCCUUGUUGUGACCCUUAUUGAUUGAUUGAUGAAAUGCUUGAUAGCAUAAAUGUGGACUUGAUUUGCAUGAAUUAUUGUCUCUUCCAUGUGGUGUGAUAUUGCGUGUGUGCAUUGAUGGUUGAACACUGUGAUGUGGCAUGUGAUGUUUAUGAUUCUGAGGUCAUCGCCGGUGAGUGCUAUUAUUCCUAGGUCAUUUCCGGCAAGUGUUGUGAUUCCAAAGUCAUUUCCGGCUAGAGGAUUGAUAUAAAACCGAUGGAAAAUGGUUCCGGCUAGAGAUAUGGUACCGAUGCUACUUGAUUCGUUUGAUUGUUGAAUUGUGACUAUUGAACUGUAAUUAUUGAGCCUUGCGAGUUGUGCAUUGUAGAACUGCUAGGUUGGGCUGAUUUCUGUGAAAGUUGUAGUAUGAGGAGGUUCGAUUGGAAUGUAAGGGGUAUUCAAUUUCUAGGUAGAUGCCUUGUUUAUUAGGUUGCACUCCUUAUUUCUACACUUGUGUAGGUUCCGAGCCCGGUUUAGCGUGAUCGUCCUUCUUCUCUUACCUUUUUAGGCUUAUCAAAGGACUAUCGAGAGUAACUUUUGUCAUCCCGGCGGGCCCUCUUUUCCUUUUCUUUAAGCUUUGUUCUAAUUGAGAAUCAAAGAUUGAGAUUUGUACUUAUUUCUUAAUUUCACACUUUAUGUAUUUAGUGGUUUGUACACGUGACAACAAGAUUUUGAGGGUUUUAAUAGAAAAAAUAAGUUUUUCUGUUUUAUCUUGUUCUUGCUUUAUUAUUUUCCGCAUUUCUUUCAUUUUCGUUGGGUUGAGACUAACUUGUCUUGGUGGGAAUAUACAAGUGUCCUCGCGUCUAUGUUUGGGUCGUGACAUCAUCAUAGAGUAGUUCCUUAAAUCAUGAUUCAUACAUGUGUGAGAAAACUAUUGACCAAUCAAGAUUUCUUAAUAUGUGAGAAAACAUUUCACAAUUCAUGCAUAUGUGAGAAAACCUUUCAUCGAUGAUUUUCUUAAAGGCAACCUUAAUUCAUAAAACUUAAGCAUAUAGCAUGAGAGUUGAGUAAUUUGAAGGAAAAAAAUGUGUUUGCAACAAAAGUAGAAAUUCAUAUCUUCCCAAUAAAUUAAAUUAGGAAAAAGGAAUAAAGAAGAAUAAAUUAUAGUGUUGACACUAUACAUCUCAACUUAGGUUAGUACAUAAUUAACACAUUUAAUCAUCGUUUAUAAUGUUUUGAACCUGUUAUUAUCAUUUCAAAGUAUAUAGCCGCUAAUAGUACUUAUUAUUAUUAUUAUUAUCAACAAAUUAAAGAGAGGGUCUCCAUAGGCAGAUUUUUGAUAGAAUUUAUUACUAGCUAAUAUCCCCAAGUUAUUUUUAUUUGUUAAUUUAUUACAUAAGAUAAAUUUAUUUUAUUUUCAAAAUAAAAAUCUCACUUUUUAUGAAAAUUAUUUAUAACUAUAUUCUAGAUAACUUGAUGAUAUAAUAAUUUUUUUAAAAUAUAUAUAUUAAUCUAUGAUAUUACAAGUAAAUAUUAUUUUUUUCUAUUUGAGCAACAAAUAGAAUAAAGAUAUAUUAAUUUACACAAUCUCAAAAUUUUGAUGUGAGGGCAGAUAUGGUAAAGUUGAUAAUAUAAGAUAUAACAGUAGUUUUUGUUGGGAAAGGCAAGGCACUAUCAAAGAAUGCUCGGAAGGAUAGCAGCGGAAAAAUAUCAAAGUCUAAACUUUCCCUUACAAUUUGAAUCAAUAGAAGAAAAAACUAAAUCAAUCAAUACGAAGAAUCGACAACAAGUAUAUCAACCAAACAAAAACAAUAAGAUAAGAAUAAAUCAAUCACACAAGACACAAAGAUUUACAUGAAAAACUCUUCGAUGUGAAGAGUAAAAAAUCACAGGACCAAAAGCUCCACUAUAACCCCAAGAGUUGCAAUAUUGUUCUCCAAAAUUGGCCACAAAAGAAGUGCCAAAUAACUAGCAAUAACGAAAUAAGAUUGCACCAAAACUAGAGAAUUAAAGGAGAGAAUCCACUAAAAAAGAGCUAUUGUUCACACCCCAAAAUCAAAAGCUACAGAUAACUAAAUCUAAUCUCCACCGUUGAAAUACAAGAAUUAUAUAGUGAAAACUCCCGGUUCAAAUUUGUGUACGAUCCAACGGUUAACGAAGUGAAGUACUCUGUUUAAAGUGGACUGCCUGUGCAGAAAAUUCCUUGAAGCAAAAACAUGAUUUUUCUCUUUCUCUCAAUCUCUAAAACAACUCUCUCUUGACUUUUUUCUCUCAUUUGUCUCAAAAUAAUACCUAAAUAAGCCUUAUAUAUGCCACAUAAUAUUGGUAUUAUGGGUUAAAGUGGCUGGUCUAAAUAAGACUUUUAUUUAUCCACACCGAAAAGAAAAAAGAUCCUAAAUCCAACAAUUCUCCGCCUCACAACUAUGUGGAGGAGACCGCCAUCCUGGCGAUCAAGCAACAUUCUUUAAACUUCCCUCUUAGCAAAACUUUAGUCAUCAUGUCAGACCCAUUUUCAUCUGUAUGAAUCUUUUCAAACUCAAGCAACUUAGAAUCCAACACAUGUCAAAUCCAAUGGUACCUUACAUCAAUGUAUUUAGACCGACCAUGAAACAUAGAAUUCUUGCCAAGAUGAAUAACUCUUUGACUGUCGCAAUAAAGCACAUACCUCUCUUGAGCACAACUAAGUUUUCCAAAAAUCUCUUCAUCUAGAUCAACUCUUUGCAAGCUUCUACAAAAGCAAUAAGCUCGGCUUCUGCAGAUAAAUCAAAGCAUUUUUGCAACCUAGAUUGCCAUGACACAGCUUCCCUUGCAAAAGUAAUCAAGUAGUCUGAAGUAAACUCACGAGUAUCAACAUUAUCAGCCAUACCAGAAUCAAUGUAACCACAAAUAAAAGGAUUCCCUAUACCAAAACACAAACUAGAAGUGCCACAAAGAUAUCUCAUAACCCACUUCACUGCAUUCCAAUGUUUUCUUCCCAAAUUAGAGAGAAAACGGCUAACAACAACAACAACGUAUGCAAUAUUCGCUCUUGUACAAAUCAUUGCAUACAUCAAACUACCAAAAGCUGAAGCAUAAGAAACUUUCUUCAAAUCUUCCCUCUCAUCAUAGCUAGAAUGACACUGCUGCUUCAUGCUCAAUUUGAAGUGCAUAGCUAAAGGUGCAUUGACAACCUUAGCUUUGUCGAUGUUGAAUCUGCGAAGUACUUUUUAAAUGUACUUCUCUUGUGAUAACCACAACUUCUUGUCCUCUCUGUCACAGACAAUCUGCAUACCAAGAAUCUGCCUUGCUGGUCCCAAGUCUUUCAUAGUAAAAGACUUACUCAACUCUUGCUUUAACUUCUGAAUCCUGCAAGUAUUAUGACCAACAACAAGCAUGCCAUCAACAUAAAGCAACACAAUAAUAAAGUCACCACCAAAGAAUUUUUGCACAAAAACACAAUGGUCUGAAGAAGUCUUCUUGAAGCCCUACUGACUCAUAAAAAAAACAAACUUUCUAUACCAUUUUCACUGUAUUCCAAUGUUUUCUUCCCAAAUUAGAGAGAAAACGGCUAACAACAACAACAACGUAAGCAAUUUUCGCUCUUGUACAAAUCAUCGCAUAUAUCAAACUACCAAAAACUGAAGCAUAAGAAACUUUCUUCAGAUCUUCCUUCUCAUCAUAACUAGAAUGACACUGCUGCUUCGUGCUCAAUUUGAAGUGCAUAGCUAAAGGUACAUUGACAACCUUAGCUUUGUCGAUGUUGAAUCUGUGAAGUACUUUUUAAAUGUACUUCUCUUGUGAUAACCACAACUUCUUGUCCUCUCUGUCACAGACAAUCUGCAUACCAAGAAUCUGCCUUGCUGGUCCCAAGUCUUUCAUAGUAAAAGACUUACUCAACUCUUGCUUUAACUUCUGAAUCCUGCAAGUAUUAUGACCAACAACAAGCAUGCCAUCAACAUAAAGCAACACAAUAAUAAAGUCACCACCAAAGAAUUUUUGCACAAAAACACAAUGGUCUGAAGAAGUCUUCUUGAAGCCCUACUGACUCAUAAAAGAACCAAACUUUCUAUACCAUUUUCUAAGAGCUUGUUUCAAACCAUACAAGUUCUUCUUCAAUUUGAAAACAUAAUUCUUUUUACCCUUUACUUCAAAACCUUCUGGCUGCUCCAUAUAAUUUUUUUCAUUCAAGUCAUCAUGGAAAAAAGCAGUUUUAACAUCCAUUUGCUCAACCUCUAAAUCUAGACUUGCAGCCAAGCCUAGAUUCACACAAAUGGAUGACAUCUUCACAAUUAGAGAACAUCUCAUCAAAAUCAACUCCCAUUUUCUGGUUAAAUCCCUUCAGAACUAAUUUAGAUUUGUACCGUAGAAUUGGAAUACCUUCUUCAUGUUUACCUAGAAAAUCCACAUGUUUUUAAAGCCUUUCGAUAUUUAGGUAACAUAACCAAAUUGAAGGUGUGAUUAUCAUAUUAGGAUUUAAUUUCAUCUUCCAUUUCAUUAAACCACCUUUCGUUUUAUUCACUUUACAUGGCCUCAUCAAGACUCUUAUCUUUUCCCCCAUCAGUCAAUAGUACAUACUCAUUAGGAGAAUAACGAGAUGAAAAAAUUCUCUCUCUAGCAGGUCGUCUGAGAGAAAUCUCCGAAUCAUCAAUAAUUGGUUCUGGGUCACCAACAUCAUCUACCAAUGGAGAAUCAACAACAUCAUACUGGUAAUUUUGAACAUGAUCACCAUCUUCAUUAACAACUUGACUUUCAUCAUUAUGAAGAGUUUCUUCAGUGCAAUAGUCAAAGGAACUGGAUCAACAUCAAUUAGGCUCUUAGUGCUCUGAGAAUCAACUUUCUUGGCUUUGUCAAGAUCUUCAAUUGUUUGGUCUUCAAAGAACACAACAUCACGACUUCUAACAGUUUUUCUCAACUAGCCAAAUUCAUCUUGAUCAUAACAAAGGUACAUUGCCUAGUUUUGACAUACAACUUUGACAUCUCAUCCUUAGCAACAUGCACAAAGGUUUUACACCUAAAAACUUUAGGAUGAUCAUAAGAGACAUUCUUACCAGAUCAAACUUGUCAGGGACAUGACCAUUCAAAGCAAGAGUAAGAGAUAAAUUGAUAACAUAGGUAGAAAUAUUAAGUGCUUCCGUCCAAAAGGAAUCUGGUUGUUUAGCAUCUGAAAGCAUACAUUUAACCCUCUCAAAUAGAGUUUUGUUCAUCCUCUUUGCUAAACCAUUUAGCUAAGACAUAUUUGAAGGAUUUUUUUUAUGCCAACUACCCUGCUCACUGCAAUAUCUAUCAAAAGAAUCAAUAUACUCAUCAUCAUUAUCAAAACGGAUGUGUUUUAAUUUCCUUCCUGUUUGUCUCUCAACCAAGGCCUGAAAACUCUUAAACGCAUCAAGGACUUGACCCUUGAACUUCAAAGAGAAUACCUAGAGUUUGCAAGAAUGAUCAUCAAUAAAAGUCACAAAGUAAAGUGCACCACCAUGAUACUUUUCCUUAAAAGAACCACACAAAAUAAAAUUUACCAACUCCAGCAAAUCAAGCUUCCUUGAAGGCAUAUGACUCUGAAAAGAAACUCUUUUUUGUUUAUCGGCUAAGCAAUGAACACAUUUGUUCAACUUUUCUUGUUUCACUCCAGAAAGCAAAUUCUUCUUAGUCAAUUUUUUCAUUCCCUUCUUGCUCAUAUGACUCAGUCUUUUAUGCCAUGACUAUGAUGAAGUAUCAUUCUCCACCAAAUUUAUCAAGCCUAUAAAAAUGGAGCCCUAGAAUACGUACAAGUUAGACAACUUGUCACCACAAUCCAAAACCAUCGAAUCUCUAGUAAGCUUCCACUGGCCAGCACCAAGGGUAUAAACAUAACCCUCAUCAUCAAGGUAUCCCUCAGAAAUCAAAUUCAAGCGAACCUCUAGAGGAUGUUAUAAUAUUAUUGAAGACUAGUUUGGAUCUAUUGUUACUUUUCAAACAAACAGUCGCAAUGCCAAGAACUGCAACCUCAUGAUUAUUGUCCAUUUUCAGCAUGCCACAAUUACCUGGAGUAUAAGAAGAAAAUAAUUUCUUUUUUGGAGUGACAUGAGAAGUAGCACCAGACUCCACAAACCAGCUAAACUCAUCACGAACAAGAUUGACAAAAUUUUCAUCACAAAAAUAAGAAGAUCAUCAUUAGCAGCAACAACAACACAAUUUUCAUUAUCGCCUUCUUUCUUUUGUUCUCUCAUAUAUCACUUAUACCUAAAGCAAUAUUUUUUUAUAUGCCCAUUCUUGUGGCAAUAGUCACAUGUAACAUUCUUAUAUUUAGACUUUGACUUACCUCUACUUUUAUAUCUGCAUUCUAACCUCUGAACUUGCUUCUCCCCUGUCUUCAGUAACCAAAACAUCGAAGUGUGAAGUAGAAGAAGAUAAGCCUUGAGGUCUUCUUCUCUUCUCUUCAUUCAAGACAUCAUUCUUAGCAUAUUCUAUAGUUACAACACCACUAGGAGCAUAAUUAGUCAAAGAAAUUCAAAGAGUUUUCCAAGAGUCUGGCAAAGUGUUAAGAAGUAAAAGUCCAUGUAUCUCUUCAUCGAACUUUUCAUUCAUUUCGGACAACUAGUCAAGAACACCUUGAAAAUUAUUAAUAUGAUCAGAAAUAUGAGUGUCCUCUUUAUACUUGAUGUUCAUUAAUUGUUUAAAUAGAAAUAACUUAUUGUUGUCAGUCUUUGAAGCAUAGAGUGUCUCAAGCUUGUCCCAAAAUCUUCUAGCAUGUGUCUUAUUCACAAUGUGAUUUCUAACAUUAUCUUCAACCCAUUGUCUGAUAUAGCCACAAACAUGUAAGUGCUCAAAUUCUUAUUCCUGAUCCAUCAUGGAUUGAGGCUUAUUAGAAACAAACACAGGUAAAUGCAUCUUUUUUUAAAAUAGAAGAUCUUUCAUCUUGCCUUUUCAAGUAUGAUAGUUACUACCAUUCAAACAAACCAUCUUGCUCAUAUUUUUCUCCACCGUUCAAAUCGAUAAUCAACAAUAACCUUAUGCUAUGAUAACACUUUGUUGGAAAAGGAAAUGCACUAACAAAGAAUGCCCGAUAAUAUAGCAACAGAAAAAUACCCAAGUCUAAACUUUUCCUUUAAGUUUGAAUCAAGUGAAGACAAACUAGAUCAAGCAGUACGAAGAAUUGACAUCAAGUAUAUCAACCAAACAACAACAACAACAACAACAAGAUAAGAAUAAACAAACACACAAGACACAAAAAUUUACAUGGAAAACCCUUCAAUGCGAAGAAUAAAAACCACAUGACCAAAAGCUCCACUAUAAUAACCAAGAGUUACAAUAUUUUUCUCCAAAUAUAGCCACAAAAUAAGUGUCCAACAAUGAGUAUCAACGAAACAAGAUUGCACCAAAACUAGAGAAUUAAAGGAGAGAAUUCACCAAAAAAUGAGCUACUAUUCAUAACAAAAAAUCCAAAUCUAAAGACAACCAGAUCCGAUCUCCACCGUUGAAAUGCAAGAACCAUAUGUUGAAAACUCCCAGUUUAAAUUUGAGCACGAUCCAAUGGUUAACGAAGCAAUAAACUGUGUUUAAACUAGACAACUUGAGCAGAAAAUUUCUUGAAACAAAAACGAGAUUUUUCUCUCGUUCUUUCAAUCUCUAAAUGCCUCUCUUUCUAUUUCUCUCUCUUGUGUGCCUGAAAAUAAGACCUAAAUAAGCCGUAUAUAUGCCACAUAAUAUUGACAUUUAUUUAUUCACAUAGGAAGGAAAAAAUCCUACACCCACUAUUUUAACUCAAACUCAAUAUUUAUUUUAAAUUUUAAUCAACAUCUAUAAAUUUUCAAUUUCAAAUGAUCAUAUCAAUUAACUUAAAGAAUGUUAUUUUCUCUCGUUCAUAACUUCAUAUUGAAUUGUGCUUUUAAUUUAGGCAAACCCCUUUUAAAAUCUACUAUUUUCUAAAAAUUAAAAGUGUAUCUUGGUUUAAAUAUAAAAAAAUCACUUAUCUAAAUAAGGAUAAUAAAAAAGAAAUAAUUAAUUCCUUUUUAGUUAUGUGAAACACUAUUUAUUUUGAACUAAAAUAGAAAAAUAAAAUUAUCAUUUAAUUAGACUAGGAGGGAGUAAAAUAAACAUCAAAUCUUGUAUUAGGCACACAUUAUUUAUACGCUUCCUUGGAGUAGCAUCCAUCCUCCUACUUUUUUAUUUUUGACUUUUCCAUAAAAAUACCUUUAUUCCAAUCUUAUAUAUCUAUAUAUACCAAAACCCCUCAUUGACUAAUUAGACUUUCCUAUUUCAAGAAAGAAUGAAUUUUGAGGAUUCAUAUCACAUUAGAUUUAAUCUCGAUCAAAUAGUUGAAAUUCAUUUCAAGAAAUAAUUGAUAUUUGAGGAUUCACACCACGUUAGAUUUAAUCUCAAAAGUUGAUCAAAUUUAUUCUCCAGACUCUAUUUCGACUUGCCUUGUACACACGUGAGACAUAUGAACCUUGGGCUCUGAUAUCAUUUGUCACGAUAAAAAAUGCACGUGAUGACACUCAUUUUAUCCCACCGAGACAAGUCAGCCUAACACCCAAAACUACAAUACAAAAUGUAGAAAGUAAGCUAUCAAUAACAUAAGUGUGAAAAAUUUAGAUAAAAUACAUAACUACCACCAAAAUCUGGUUGUCACGUGUAUAAGCCACUAAUGUAUAAAAGCACUUGAAUAGAACGAAGCAUAAAAUAAGGAAUAAGAGGACCCACCGGGAUGACAAGCAACUACCUCGCAACGUGUCCUCAAAAGCCUUAGAAGAAAUGUCACACAAGUCUAGGUCCGAAUCUACACAAGUGUAGAAGCAAUGAGUGAGUACCAAUCAACACGGAACUCAACAAGCAAUCCAAUAACACAAGGUAAAACUAGCCUAGAUUACAAAUACUCAUUUCAUCCCAACCGAACCUCCUCAACUAAAACCUGCACAGAAAUCAGUUCAGCCUAACAAUUUACAAUAUACAACUCACACGGCUCAACAAUCACAAUUCAACAUUAACAGUUCAACAAUCACUAGUAUCACAUUAAUCAAUCACAAGUAUCAAGUUGGAAUUUAUGGGGAAUACCCAUAGUCCAUGCACUCGCUGACAAUGACCUUGGCAUAAUAGAACCCACACGGCAAUGACCUCGACAUCAAUAACAUUCUUCAAAAAUGACCUCGACAUCAAUAACACUCACCGGAAAUGACCUCGGCCUAAUAACCUCGCAUCUCAUCAUAAUGCCCAGAAUCAAUGUGAAUGAGCAUACUCACACAAUAUUGAAGAGAUGAUAAACUCAAGCAAUUCAAGUUCACAAUAAUAUUAUCAAAGCAUUUCAUCAAUCAUGAGUUCAAUGUUCACACCAAGACAAUUCAUAAUACACAAUACAUCAUUAACAACACAUUACCUUUUUCAUUAAACUGCAUUUAUAUCGAUAAAGCUAAUCAAAUGAGUAAAUUAACCCAUCACCUCACUUCCAUUGCUUCCCAACACACACAAUGAAGGAAAAUACAAGUUUCUACAAGUUUUAACAAUGUUUAGAGGUCUUGUCUUAAUCAAUCAAAAGUCACUCUAGGACUUGAGCUUUUCCCCUCCGAAUAAUAUCUAAAGCAACACAAUCUAAUCAAAUAAGUAAUCACAAUGAGAUUUUGAAACUAAUAACACACAUAUCAAGCACUUUAAAAAAUGGGUCAAUUCGACUCAAAAAAUAAAUUCCAAAAAUUAGGUUUGAAAUUGAAAAUCAUUACUUAAAUACGUUACCCAAAACAUUUGAAACUCAUUGGUGAAAGCCAUUUUGAAAAUAAAGGUGUAUUCAACUCAAAAUCACCAAUUUACUUCAACACCCAGUUAGUCUUGAAAACCUUUUCAUUUUGCCAAUCAAAAAUCUCUAUUUUUUUUAAUGUUAAAACUACAAAUGAUAAUGGAGAAUUGAAGACUUAGGGUUACAAACACUUACCCAAAAAAUUUAGUACGAUAAGUCUCCUCAAAAUCACCUUCAACUGUUCUUCAAAAUUCAAAAUGGAGAAAUCCCAAAAAAACAAACUAAAAGGCUCCCAUGUCUCGCUUUUGCAAACCCAGGGUCACUUACACAAUCAUCGCAAUCCUAGUUCAAAAAAUCGAACUCUGAAAAGUUGGCUAGUAAUCACUUUCGCGAGCCGGCCUUCACUAAAGCGAAGGUCGCGAAAGCGACAACCACUCGCAAACGCGAAGGUCUAGGGGAACCGACCCCUUGCGAAUGUGACUAGUAUAUCACGGAAGCAAUGUUUGCGAAAGCGAACAACCUCUCGUUAACGUGAGGCACACAUGGUAAUAGAAAAUUCAUCCAACUUUCAAAAUUCCUAAAUGAUCCUCAGAAUUCGUUCGGAACCCAUAUACACAAAUUAAAUAUGUAACUCGACGAUACUCAACGUUUCAAAUAUAAUGGAACUAUUGAAAUACGAAUCUGAGAUCUCCUAGACCCGAAUCUCGUGUAAAUCACAAGAAACUAACACAACACCUAAAACUGACAAACUAGCUCGGGACCUCUUAAAAUUCAACCAAGAUCUCUGCCUAAGCCUAAAAUCAUCUCCCGAAUUCAAUGGAAUUGUUGGAAAUUCGAUCCGGGCAUCCAAACUCCAAAUGUUAACAAAGUCAACCUAAAGGCUAAAUUCUCACCAAUUUUCAAGUUAGGACCUCAAAUCCAGGAAAAGACUCUGAAUGUAACACUCCGGAAACUAGUAGGCUAAACUAGAGCUUAACAUGUGGGUUAAAGUCGUAAAUGUAACUCCCCGUACUUAAAAAUAAUGGGUUUCAUGUUAGGAUGUCAAGGUACGACCCCCAAGAACCAACUAUGGGUCCUUGAGGAAGACCCUAGAAAAGUUGCAUGUAUAGUGACCCACGAAGGGGACCUACACCACGUAGGUCAACCCACACCCAUGGGUGAGAGGGCCGUAGGUCAGGCCCUAAAAAUCAAGUCCCACAACCCAACCCACGCUUCACCAGCACGGGCCGUAGGUCCAACCACGGUCCGUCAGUGGUAGGUCUUGGAUGGUCACCUGGAAGCUGAUUUGGAGGGUUAAGUUAGAGGGCACUUUGGGGUUUUCCAGGUUUAAUUAAUACUAAGUGAGGUUGUUUUAGCCUAUUUUAGAACACCUAUAUAAGGAUUUAAGCUCACAAAAUUUACUCAUCUUCCUCAUUAUUCCAAAAUCCCAAAUAAAAACCAACUUUUCCCCAAAUAUUCUCUCUCUAGAACUUCAAAGAAAACGAAGAAGGAAGUUGGAGCUAGGGUUCAAUGAGCAAGGUUUUCUUCUCAAAUUCAUUGGAUUUCAUUGCUAAGGUAUGGUAGUUCUUCAUACAUGGAUAUAAUUCAUCCAUGGAGCCCCUUCAAAACCUCAAUUUCAAAGAUGGAAAUUCCCCAAAAGUUAGGGUUUUACUCCAAGUCAUGGGUUCCUUUAAAAAAUGAUUCUAGUGAUUUAAUUACUUAUACUAUGAUUGAAUUUAUGAUCUUUUAUGGUUUUUAUGUUGAAAUCCCCAAGAAUCCAUGAAAUCCCCCAUAUUACUCAAUUAUGAUCUUGUGAUGUAGGUUUGUUGAUGAAAGAAGAGUAUUAUGAGAUUUUACAUGUAGUGAUUUGAUUACUUGAAUUAUGAUUAUAUCCAUGUCUAAAGUAGUGAAUUCUAGAUGUGUUGAUUGAAUAUGAUCAUUGAUCCUUGAAGGGUAAAGUAUGAGAAUUAUGCAUGAUUAUGAGAUUUAUGUAUAUGCUUUAAGAACACUUUGAGAGUAAAGUGAUUAUGAUUAUGAUCUAGUUGUUGUGUUGUUGAAAGGUUAUCCUCAUAUACACACUUACGUAUGAAUAUGAUAUGAUGUGAGGGGUUUUCUCAUAAUAUGAUGAUUCUAAGGUUGAAAGACUAUUCUCACCUAUUGAAUCUAGGAGCUAUCUUAUGAGUUAUGUUGGAUUGAGUGUCAAGACAUUCUUCCAUGAAUAUGAAUUUAAGUCAAGACUUAACAUGAACUCCGUGGGAAUUAAUGCUCAGCACCGAGUGGAUAUUGAUAUGAGAUGGGAACCCUCACAAUAGUAGAGACCGAGUUUCUAGGAACAAUCUCUUGGGAUGGAAGCCCUCACGAUAGUAGAGGUCGGGUUUCUAGUAGCAAUCCCCUUGUCCCAUAAACUAUGUGCCUUCAUAGGUCUUUAGAUAGUGGAUCCACCUAAGCUAAGAGUAUGGUUCUACCUUAGGAAAGUAGGACAACCCCUUUUCGGUGUGGGGUAGACACCGGAUUCCAUGUUAAGCUCACAUGGUCUAUGUCGGUUAAGGCUUAUACCACUAUGAUAGUAUAAACAAUAAUAUGAAUUAUGAACUAUAGCUACUCAAGAAGCUUUACUUAGUAUGUGUGAGAUUAUGGGAUCUUAUUCAUGCAUUACACAAGUAUGCUUUGAGGGUAUUUAUGAUAUGUUCAUCUUACGAUAUGAUGAUCUAUGAGUUGAUUAUGCUUAUGACUUAUGCUUUUUCCACUAUCUUCAAAAUGAUGUUUUAACAUAGUAAAUUGCAUGCAUUCAACUAAAUGUCCUUUUAGCAUUAUUUCAAUGUUUUUAUGCAUGGCUAUCAUACUUAGUGCAUUUUUGUACUAACACAUGCUUUUUCUACAUUUUCCGCAAUUGUAGGGUCCGGUUCUCAAGGUGGUCAUCAUUGUGGCUAAAGAUUGGAUUUGCUUAUUCUCCUAGCUUGUUGGUGAUUCCUCAUGAUUUAAGGACUGAUGUUAUCUUUGUAGUUCUUUUCUUGUAUUUCCUUUACGGACUAUGUUGUAUGGGCUGUGACCCUAUUUCUUUCAAGUAUUGUAAUAGAUGGCUAUAUUGAGACAAGUCUAGACUUUCGCUUUCCUUUAUGAAAAAUUUUGGACUUGAAAUGCGAUUUUACUCUUUAUUGUUCUAUUCUUAUGUUAUGAUACGUUAAGAGGCUUGUAUAAGGCUUCUCGGAGUCUUGCACACCGUGUUACAUCUAGGGGGUACUUUUGGGUCGUGACAAACUUGGUAUCAGAGCACAGGGUUUAGAUUGAUUCUAGGAUGAUGUAUCAUAAGCAACGUCUAGUAGAGUCUUGCUCAUGAGUGUGAAGCGCGCCACAUUUAUGAAUGUGAGGCUACUAGUUGAUUAGGAAACUACAUUUCUUUCAUUACUCUUAAGUCGUGCAAUAGAGUUUAACUCUAUAAAGUCCCUCUCUUAAUCCUUCUCUUAAAAUGAAUACACGAAGGGCUAAUGCUAGAAGAAUAGAGGGUGACAAUGUGAAUGAAGAAGCUCUUCAAGCUAAUCAAGCUCCGAUUGAUCCUUUAGUUAUGUCGAAUGUGGAGGUUAGGUCGGCUUUUCAAAUGUUGGCCCAAGCUUUGACUACUCAAGCUCAAGUUGUGACGGCUCAAGCCAACAGAGAGGUUGUAGCUAUGGUGAAUCCUAAUGUGAGUUCAGAGGCUUCAAGAGUGAGGGAUUUUUCAAGAAUGAACCCCCCGAAUUGCAUGACUCCAAAGUGGAGGAGGAUCCUCAAGAAUUUGUAGAAGAGGUUUAUAAAGUACUUGCUAUUAUGGGGUGACUUCGGUAGAGAAAGCAGAGUUGGUUGCUUACCAAUUGAAAAGUGUUGCUCAAGUGUGGUAUAAUCAAAGGAGGAGAAAUAGGCCGGUAGGAGCAAGUCGCAUAAAGUGGGAGGUGUUCAAAUUGGCGUUUCUUGAUAGGUUCUUUCCCCGAGAGUUGAGGGAAGCUAAGGUGGAAGAGUUCAUUAACCUUCAUCAAGGAAGCAUGAGUGUGAAAGAGUAUGCACUAAAGUUCACUCAAUUGUCCAAGUAUUCUCCAACUAUGGUGGCGGAUUCGAGGGAUGAGAUGAGUAGGUUUUUGACGGAUGUGUCUGGCUUGGUAGUAAAAGAAUGUCGUUCAGUAAUGCUCCAUCAUGAAAUGGAUAUCUCACGUCUUAUGGUGCAUUCCCAAUAAAUAGAGGAAGAGAAACUCAAGAAAAAGAAUAGAGAGGUGAAAAGAACUACGACCGGUGAUGGGAAAUUCUCCAAUGCUAAGUCUGAUGUACAAGGUCGACCAAGGUUUUCCAACCAAGGCUCCUCUAGUUCUCCAAGGGUCAACAAGGAUAGGGUUUCCAACCCUAAACCUCAAGGAGGUAAUAGUGGUGGUUCUUAUGUGGCUAGGCCUAAUUGUGCGAAAUGUGGAAGAAAACAUGAUGGUAAGUGCCUAGUUGGCUCGGACAGUUUCUAUGGUUGUCGAAAGAGUGUCCACAAGAUGAGAGAUUUCCCGAUGCUCAUGGCCAAGGGAAGAGAAGGCAAUUAAACUCCUCCAAGCGGUUCAAACUCCAAUGCCCCAAAGCAAAACCGUUUUUAUGCUCUUCAAUCCCGAGACCAAGAGAGCUCACGGAUGUUGUGACCGGUAUGUUAAAAUUCUUUCUUAUUGAUGUGUAUGCCUUGUUAGAUCUCGGUGCUACUUUGUCCUUUGUGACACCUUAUGUCGCCAUGAAGUUUGAUAUACUUCCCGAAGCGUUAGUGGAACCUUUUUUGGUUUCUACCCCGGUUGGUGACUCAGUGGUGGCUAAGAGGGUGUAUAGAAGGUGUCUCAUUUGCUUGUCCCAUAGAGUUACUUUGGUGUAUUUCGUAGAGUUAGACAUGUUAGAAUUUGAUGUGAUUUUGGGUAUGGAUUGGUUGUAUGCAUGUUAUGCCUCUAUCGAUUGUAGGACUCGGGUGGUUAGAUUCCAAUUUCCAAAUGAGCCUGUCUAAGAGUGAAAGGGAGGAAAUUCUAUGCCUAGAGGUCAAUUUAUCUCUGGUCUUAAAUCUAGGAAGAUGAUCUCCAAAGGGUGUAUUUACCAUAUUGUUAGGGUGAGGGAUGUUGAAUCUGAAACCCCUUCUCUAGAGUCGGUUUCGGUAGUGAAUGAGUUAUCGAAAGUUUUUCCUGAUGAUUUACCCGGUAUUCCUCCCGAUCGGGAAAUAAAUUUUGGUAUUGACCUUUUACCGGAUACAAAGCCUAUCUCUAUUCCUUCUUAUAGAAUGGCUCCGGCUGAGUUGAAAGAGCAACUAAAAGAUUUAUUUAAUAAGGGCUUCAUCCGAUCGAGUAUCUCUCCAUGGGGUGCUCCGAUGUUGUUUGUUAGAAAGAAGGAUGUGUCUCUUAGAAUGUUCAUCGAUUAUCGUCAAUUGAAUAAAGUUACCAUUAAGAACAAGUAUCAUCUUCUGAGAAUUGAUGACUUGUUUGAUCAAUUUCAAGGGGCUAGUUAUUUCUCAAAAAUUGACCUUCGUUCGGGUAUCACCAGUUAAGGGUGAGAGGGGUUGAUAUUCCCAAGAUGGCUUUCAGAACUCGAUAUGGACAUUCUGAAUUCCUUGUGAUUUCAUUUGGCUAAACUAAUGCUCCUGCGGCAUUUAUGGACCUAAUGAAUAAAGUAUUUAGGUAAUACCUAGACAUGUUUGUAAUUGUGUUUAUCGAUGAUAUUUUGAUCUAUUCAAGGAGUGAGAAUGAUCAUGAGGACCAUUUGAGAAUUGUGUUGCAAGUUCUUAAGGACCACCAACUUUUUGCAAAGUUUAGCAAGUGUGAAUUUUGGUUGAGAUCCGUAGCUUUCCUUGGUCAUAUUUGUCAAGCAAGGGUAUUGAGGUAGAUUCUAAGAAGACGGAUGAGGUCAAGAGUUGGCCUAGAGCUCUAACUCCUUUCUAUAUUAGAAGCUUUUUGGGUUUUGCCGGUUGCUAUAGAAGGUUUGUUGAGGAAUUUUCUUCCAUUGCUUCUCUUUUGAUUGCUUUGACUCAAAAGAAAGCUAAGUUUGUGUGGUCGGAAUCUUGUGAGAAAACUUUCCAAGAGUUGAAAGAUAGACUUAUUUCUGCUCCGGUGUUAACCUUACUAGAAGGUACAAAUGGUUUCGUGGUAUAUUGUGAUGCCUUUAGAGUGGGGUUGAGAUGUGUGCUCAUGCAAAGCGGUAAAGUGAUUGCAUAUGCUUCAAGGCAACUUAAAGUCCAUGAAAAGAAUUAUCCGACCCAUGAUCUUGAAUUAGCGGCGGUUGUGUUUGCCUUAAAAAUAUGGAGGCAUUAUUUGUAUGGGGUCCAUGUGGAUGUUUUCACCGAUCACAAGAGUUUUCAAUAUGUAUUUAGUCAAAAGGACUUGAAUCUUCGACAAAGAAAGUGGCUAGAACUCUUGAAGGAUUAUGAUAUGAGUGUCCUUUAUCACCUCGGCAAAGCCAAUGUGGUAGCAGAUGGACUUAGUAGAUUGUCCACGGGUAGUGUGGCUCAUGUAGAGGAUGAAAAGAAAGAAUUGGUUCGUGAUGUGCAUAGGUUGGCUCGACUAGGUGUUCAACUAGUGGAUUCCACCAUGGGUGGUGUCAUGGUCCAUAAUGGUUCCAAAUCAUCCUUUGUAAUAGAUGUGAACCCUAAGAAAGACCUUAAUCCUAUAUUAGUUGAGUUGAAAGAGUCGGUACUCAAGAAGUCCGUUGAGUUUUUCUUCCAAGGGGAAGAUGGGGUGCUUAGGUACCAAGGUCGGUUAUGUGUUCCAAAUUUUGAUGGUUUGAGGGAACAAAUUUUACAAGAAGCUCAUAGUUCUCGGUAUUUUAUUCAUCCGGGAGCCACCAAGAUGUAUUGUGAUCUACGGAAAGUCUAUUGGUGGAAUGGGAUGAAGAAAGAUAUUGCGGGAUUUGUAGCCAAAUGUCCUAAUUGUCAACAAGUUAAGGUUGAGCAUCAAAGGCCGGGAGGCUUGUCCCAAGAUAUAAGUAUUCCCACUUGGAAGUGGGAAGAUGUAAAUAUGGACUUUAUUGUGGGUUUGUCUUGUACCCGAAGGAAACAUGAUUCUAUUUGGGUCAUUAUAGAUCGGAUGACAAAAUCAGCCCACUUCAUUCCCGUCACGGUUUCCUUUUCGGUGGAAUACUAUGCCAAGGUGUAUAUAAGGAAGAUAGUGAAGUUGCAUAGAGUUUCUCUAUCUAUUAUUUCCCAUUGGGAUACUCAAUUUACUUCCCACUUUUAGAAGUCAUUCCAAAAAGGUCUUGGCGCGAAGGUGAAGCUUAGUACAACUUUUCACCCCCAAACGCAUGGACAAGCGAAAAACACCAUUCAUGUAACACUUCGUAUCCAAAAAUAGACCAACCAACAGAUUUCCAGAAGUUUCAGGUGCAACCCACGGACCGUAGGGUGACCUACGUUCCGUCUUGAUGGUCCGUGGUUCACCACCUGCAGCCCCUCCCAGAAAAGGCCCAUAAAAUUAUUCUAAGUCCAGACCUACGUAAGGACCUACAGACCGAAGGCCAGACUAGGGUCUGUGUUCCAGGGCCGUAGGUCAGACCCUCAGACAAAUGUUUAUAUGACAUGACCUACAGACGAACCCACGGACCAUAGGUUAGGCCACAAAUCGUGGUCCUAGUCCGUGGAAUGAGGCCCCAGAAUCUAGUCCCAGAACCCCGUUGAUGGUUGACCAGCAUGACCGUUGGUCCAUCCAUGGUCCGUUGGUGGCCUCGAUAACUUUUAAGUCAGGGGUCGUUUGGUCUUUUCCCUAUGUGUUGGACCCCUAAACUACAUAGUUUUUGUCAGUUUUAGCCUAGUAAACUAAUUAGAACCUAACCUAAUCAAUCAUUCAUCUAAAAUUCAUCAAACUUAGAGCAAAAUAGAGGAGAAAGUUGAGCAGCCCUAGUUCAAGAGCGCAAGGAGCGUUCAUUAGUUCCAACCUCGAAAUCAAAAGAUUUCUCGGUGAAUUUUAUCACCAGGUAUGUGGGAUUUCACUAGUGGUUUCCUUUCACCCAUUAGGUCCCUAGAAUUCAGUCAGAUUCUUGAUUCCUUUCAUAUUAUCUAGACCUAGGGUUUUUAGAAUUUCAGAAGAUUAUUAUGAAUUACUGUAAUGUUCCUAAUUAGAUUAUCAUGAUAUUAGUAUUAUUUUGCGUAGAUUUUUUCAUAAGUUCAGAACCCUAGCUAUGUAGUUCUUUUAGUUCAUGAAUUACACAUGCUAGGUUAGUUAUCUCAGUUAUACAUGCCUCAGAUUUGAAUGUUUCAUUAUUAGUACAUUAAUGUUGCUUUUUUAGUUAGCAUGUCAGUAUUUUGAGCUAUCCAGUAUUACAUAAAUUCACUCAUAAACUGUUAAUUACAUAAUCAAUUGGGAGUAGCUUAAUACCGAGUGGACUAGGGUCAGUCACCCUCAACUCCCAGAACUUCGUGCCCCCGUAGGUUAUAAGUCCUCUCUGUGGGCAUCAAUUUAGUGAUCACGCUAGUUAUGCCUCUAUACCUCCGACAGGGUAUAUUUGGUCCUCUCGAUGAGGCGUAUACAUCGGACUCCAUAUUUAGCUCAUGUGGUUUUAUGUCGGUUAUUAGUAGCUCCCUUAUAGUUAGACUCUAUUGCAUUGACCAUGUUAUCAGUUACAGUCAGAUUUUAGUCUCAAUUUGUUAUAAACUUGGUCAUUGCAUUCAGUUAGUUCAUGUUUAGUAUUUUCAGUAUAGAAUCAUGCUUAUCUUAUCUCAUUGCUCAAUUAUAUGCUUUGUUCAGUUAUGUUUAUUGUUCAGCUUUACUCUAUCUUACAUUCUCAAUACCUUUCAAGUACUGACGCAUACGAUGCGCUACAUCUUUUUAUGAUGCAGGUUCAGGUCCUCAACUUUCAGAUCACGCAUAGGUCGAUUCCCGAUCUUCAGCUCAGCAGUAUCAGUGGUGAGUCCUCAUUCUCUGAGGACGACAUACAUAUUUCUUUUUAUUUUUAGUCUUUAGUUUCAGUUUUGUUAGAUUUAGCUAGGGCAUGUCCCAGCAUUUCUAGUCAGUUAAAGGCUUAUUUUCAGACAUAGUUAGAUUCAGCUUUAGCAUUUGAGUUUGACCUUUUAGUUGUUGUUUAACUCUCAGUUUUUUAUAUAUUCAGAUAGUUUAUGGGUUUUCCCCAUCAUUUUAGUUUUAUGAUGAUUUAAGCUUCCGCACCGUACUUUCUUAAUUCAGUUAUCUUUAAGUAUGCUUAUGAUAUGCCAGUAGGGUUAGCUUGGGGUCACUCGCGAUCCUAGGUCCCGUGUCCGCGUCUUGGGGGUAGCUUCGGGGCGUGACAAACUUGGUAUCAAAGCACUAGGUUUAAGUGUCCUAGGAUGUCUGAAAAGCCGCACUAAGUAGAGUCCUUUUCAUGGGUGUGAAGUGCACCACAUCUAAUGAGUGGGAGGCUACGAUGUGUUCUAGGAAAACUUCACUUUUUUUAUAUUCUUAUCGUGCGUGGGUAUGAUCUACCUUCUAAUCCAUCAUUAUGCAUUUCAGAUCAUGCCUCCUCGUAGAGAUUACAGAAGGAAUGCUAAUGCACGCAAUGCUAAUGCAACUCUUCCAGUCCCAGAUCAGGAAGUUUCGAAUGCAGAGUUCCAAAACGCCAUUUAGUUUUUAGCUUAGAGUGUGACCAACCAGAACAACCAAUAUGUUCAGGUUCCUACAAAUACUAGUGGUGGAUCAGCGGCAACUAGGGUUUAUGACUUUGUUAGGAUGAAUCCGCCAAAAUUUCUAGGAUCGCAAGUUGAUGAGGAUCCCCAAAACUUCAUAAAUGAGGUCAAGAAGAUCUUUGGAUUAAUGCAAGUGAUUAGAAAUGAUAGGGUGGAGUUGGCAUCCUACUAACUUAAGGAUGUAGCUCACAUAAGGUUCACGUAGUGGAAAGAAAACAAAGAUACGGAUGCAGUUCCUAUCACUUGGGAGUAUUUUAGUGAGACCUUUCUAGAAAAGUUUUUCCCAAGAGAGUUGAGGGAGGCAAGAGCUCACGAGUUCAUGAAUUUGAGGCAAGGUAACAUGAUAGUCGAAGAGUACGUGCUCAAGUUCACCCAACUCUCCAGGUAUGAUCCUCACAUGGUUGCCGAUUCCAGGGCUCAAAUGAAUAAGUUUCUGUAUGGAGUAUCCGACUUGGCGAAAACUAAGUGUCGCAAUGCUAUGUUACUGGAGAAUGUGAAUAUCUAUAGGCUCAUGACUCAUGCUCAGCAGGUUAAGGGAGAUAAGCUUAGGGAACAUGCUAAGGAUAAUAAGAAGGCUAGGACAGGCAACUAUGAGUAUUCUCAAUAGAAAUCAGGUGGUGGAAAUCGCUCGCAGUUUCAGCAAAAGUCUUCAGCUCCAGCACAUUCAUGAGAUAGUGUUCCAUCUUCCAGGUUUCGACAGAAUCAGAAAGGUAGGGCAAUAGGCUCUAAGUCUCAUGGGAGUAUUUUAGGCAUCAAAACCUACCCAACUUGUCCAAAGUGUGGUAAGAACCAUCUGGGCAAGUGUCUUACAGGAAAUGAAUGAUGCUUUGGGUGUGGUCAGUCUAGUCACAGGUUGAGAGACUGUCAUUCUUCUAAAUAGGGUCAAGUAGGAAACAAUGGUAGGGCUCAGUCUACAUCUUCAGCAGUACCAGCAGGUCACCCGACUCAGCAAGGUAACUCAUCUGGUAUAGGUGGCGGACAACACCAAAACAGGUUGUAUGCUCUUCAGGCUCACCAAGAUUAGGAAGAUUCUCCUGAUGUAGUCACUGGUACGCUACGAGUCUUUAACUUAGAUGUUUAUGCUUUGUUAGAUCCAUAGCCUACUCUCUCUUCUGUAACUAAUAACUAUCGAUUUUAGUGUCAGUCCCGAAAUUCUCUCAGAACCCUUCUCAGUCUCUACUCCAGUCAGUGACCCAAUUAUAGCUAGAUGGGUAUAUAGAAAUUUCCCUGGCACAGUCUCUCAUAAAGUCACCUCAGCGGAUCUUGUAGAGUUAGAAAUGGUAGACUUUGAUGUCAUUCUUGGCAUGGAUUAGUUACAUUCCUGUUAUGCCUCAGUCGAUUGUAAAACUAGGAUCGUUCAUUUUCAGUUUCCAGACAAACUAGUAGCUCAGUGCCUAUGGGUCGAUUCAUUUCUUACCUUAAGGCCAGAAAUAUGAUCUCUAAAAGUUAUCUCUAUCAUCUAUUUCGGGUUAAGGAUUCAAGCUCUGAAACCUCAACUCUUGAGUCAGUUCCUGUAGUUAAUGAGUUUGAAUGGAAGGGUAGUAGGUUGGUGCAUAUGGGUCGAUUCAUUUCUUACCUUAAGGCCAGAAAUAUGAUCUCUAAAAGUUAUCUCUAUCAUCUAUUUCGGGUUAAGGAUUCAAGCUCUGAAACCUCAACUCUUGAGUCAGUUCCUGUAGUUAAUGAGUUUCCUGAAGUGUUUCCAGAAGAUCUUCCCGGAGUUCCUCCCAAAAGGGAAAUCGACUUUGGANNNNNNNNNNNNNNNNNNNNNNNNNNNNNNNNNNNNNNNNUCCAGAUACCCAGCCUAUUUCUAUUCCUCCUUACAAAGUGGCUUUAGUUGAGCUUAAGGAAUUGAAGGAGCAGUUGAAUGACCUUUUAGAUAAGGGCUUCAUCAGACCUAGUAUUUCCUUGUGGCACCAGUAUUUUUUGUGAAAAAGAAAAAUAGUUCUCUCAAAAUGUGCAUUGACUAUCGGCAGUUGAACAAGGUCACGAUAAAAAAUAAGUAUCUUAUCCCCUAAAUUGAUGACUUAUUUGACCAACUUCAAGGUGCUAGUCAUUUCUCAAAGAUAGACCUCAGAUCCGAUUAUCAUCAGCUCAGAGUCAGAGAUAGUGACAUUUCGAAAAUAGCCUUCAGAACUCGGUAUGGUCAUUAUGAAUUUGUAGUUAUGUCAUUUGGACUAGCCAGUGCUCCUUCAACUUUCAUGGAUUUGAUUAACAGAGUGUUCAAGCAGUAUUUGGACUUGUUUGUUAUCGUCUUUAUUGAUGACAUCCUCAUUUACUCUAGGAAUGAGGAAGAAGAUACGACUCAUUUGAGGGUUGUCCUGCAAACUCUCAAAGAUCGUCAGUUAUUCGCUAAGUUUAGCAAAUGUGAGUGUUGGUUGUAAUCUGUUGCUUUCCUUGGGCAUAUUGUGUCUAGCGAAGGGAUCUGAGUGGAUUCUCAGAAAAUAAAAGCAGUGAAACAAUGGCCCAGACCUACCUCUCCUAUAGAUAUAAGAAGUUUCUUGGGUUUGGAUGGUUAUUACAAAAGGUUUGUAGAAGGAUUUUCAUCCAUAGCUUCUCCAUUAACUAAGUUAACUCAGAAAAAGGUUAAGUUCCAAUGGUCAAAUAAUUGUGAGAAUAGCUUUUCAGAACUGAAAACUAGCUUGACUACAGCUCCUGUUUUGACUCUACCAGAGGGUUUAGACGGUUAUCUGAUCUAUUGCGAUGCAUCUAGAGUCGGCCUAGGUUGCGUGUUGAUGCAACGAGGUAAGUUUAUAGCUUAUGCUUCUAGACAACUCAAGGUGCAUGGGAAGAACUAUCCAACUCAUGACCUCGAGCUUGCAGCAGUGGUGUUUGCACUUAAGAUUUGGAGACAUCACUUGUAUGGUGUUCACGUAGAUGUGUUCACAGACCAUAAGAGCCUUCAGUAUGUGUUCACCCAGAAAAAGUUGAAUCUUCGCCAGAGGAGAUGGCUUGAGUUCCACAAAGAUUAUGAUAUGAAUGUGCUUUAUCAUCCUAGUAAGGCCAAUGUAGUAGCAGAUGCUCUUAGUAGACUAUUUAUGGGUAGUGUAGCACAUAUUGAGGAAGAAAGGAAAAAACUAGCAAAAGAUGUUCACAGGCUUGCUCGCUUAGGAGUUUGUCUUAUGAGCAUAUCAGAUGGUGGUGUAAUAGUACAGAAUGGGUCAGAAUCUUCAUUGGUAGCGGAUGUUAAGGAAAAGAAAAAUAAUGAACCUAUAUUGCUUCAACUAAAGUGUCAUGCCCCAAACUCGAGGGGCGCAACUAGCUCCUAAUGCCAAAACUCAGGCCUGAGUUGACCCUGCUGAACCAUUUGCUACUAGCGCAUGGCAGCCACACGCAAUCAAGAAAACAAACAAGUAUAUCUCGGCUUAAAACUAAGCCCUCGACUGGUAAGGCCCCUGUCAACUGAUCUAUAAAGGAAACAACUACUCCCAGGAGAGCAUAUUAAAUAAAUAGCCAACUAGUACAAAAGUCCUGAUUGGGCCGUCGAGGCCACCAUGAUAUCUAUACCAAAACUAAAAGCACGUAUAUAUCAAGUUAAUAAAUCAAACAUCUCACAAGCUUCAGUAAACCAACAAACUAGGAUAGUAUGUCCAUAACAUAGCUAUACACCCCACACACUAGUCUGCAAGCCUCUAAGAGUAGUAAAGAUUGGCGGGACAGGGCCCCAGCCUACCCAUAAACAUAUAUACAACAAAAGGUAACAAACCUCCCAACUCUGGAAGCUCCGGAGGAAAGGGGCUAGCCAAUCGGAUAGAAGUCAAUCAUGCUGCUAAGGAAUCAUCUAAAAAGUAUGACCGUUUUUACCCACGAUGGCUACAUGGUUUAUGGAGACUUGAGUUAUUAUGAACUCGUCCUCAUAUCGGUGCUCAAUACUACUCCCAAAAUAUACUCGGCUCAUAUGUUUUAAAAUAAAACUCUCUCUGUGGUUUGAGAUAAUUACUCAAAAACUAGCUCAAAGGUUCUCUUAGAAAUUGGUGUUUCCUCUCUUGUUUAAAUGUGAAAACAUUUACUCUUUUAGAAAUACAUAGUCUUGGUAUACUCUUUUAAAGAAAAGAACUUUGAUCUUCACUCUUUAUUCAACUCAAAACUCAAGUCUUAAAAUAAAGUUAAAAAGUUUGCAAAAGACUUUUGAAAUGACUCUAAGAACUCUCUAGCCUUGGCUCUUAACUUUCCUUGAAUUUGAAUUUAUGGAUUCAAGGAUUGUGAUUUGUGAUAGGAAGGAUCUCAUGAUGUUUAGGAGUGUUUUUAGAUAGUUAAACGUGAGAAACGAUCAAGAAAUUCCUAUCUAGAAACAAGUUCACGACGCGGAGAUGCAUUUAAUUAUUUGAUCGUGAAAUAAAUUUUGAGGCAGAAUGGUCUGUGACUACUUCGCGAUGCGGAGAAAAUUUUGUCAAUCCUAAGGAACAGGUCCGCGACGCUGACCUGGUACCCAGAUUUGCCCGACUUGUUCCUUCUUCGUUUUCUAACACCAAUUCGCCUAAAUUCGAUUCUUUUUCUCAAUUCCUCUUUAGAUUCAGAUACCCAGCACAUGUACACAAGAAUCUAACUCAAAAAAACUCUAACAAUCAACCUUAAACUCUCAAGAACAAAAGCAAUUCAAGAAUACAACUCAAGAACAUCAAAGUCUCAAUCUUUUAGGACGAAAAUCAUACUGAAAUAAACAUGUUUGGCACGUGGGUGAACGAACCCAACGCUAUGUGAACUCACAUACCUCGUAGGAUUGAAUCUUUGGCGAAAACCACAACCAAAAUCGCAAGAACUUGACGAAUCUUUGAACUUUUCUUCUCCUUUCUCCUCUUGAGUUCUUUCUCCAAUAACCCUAGCGUGAUUUGGUAAGGCAUAAACUGAUCUAACUCUGUUUAGACCCAAAUUAAACUUCUAAAAACGAAAUAAAUUAAUUGGGCAUGGAAAAGACCAAAAUACCCCUUUAAAAUCCGGUUUUAACUUUCAUUAUCUAGACAACUCAACUUCAAAUGGGCAUAUAUCCCUCAUACAAACUCGAAAUCAAGCAAACUCGGAGGCGUUGGAAAGAUAAUUCAAAGAUAUUUCCUACGGUAUCUUGUAGCACACCUAACUUAUCCUGAGCUAGGAGUUAUCGCCACUUGAAGUUGACCCAAACUCAAGCUUAGCAUAACUUUAACAAAUUUUCCAGAUUUUUCAUUCUUUCCAAAAAUAACUCUUUCUAAUUCUAGCUCUUUCACUUAGCGAGGUGUUACAAUCACGAACAUAAUUUGGUACUGUGUACGGAUACAUAUCCUUCUAAAUUAGGACAACCGUAGAAGAUACAUAGCAACACUUGAUACAUGAUAAAUGAUACAUUUGGUAGAACUUUUGUAUUAUCAAUGCUAGUUAAGGAUAUCUAUCAAAACUAAUAUUUGAAUACGAUACAUUGUGAAUGAUAAAAAAUUUAAUGCAUCAUAAUGUUGAAACGAAGACAUUAUACAUUAGUUUAAGAAACAAAAUCAACUAGAUACAUUAAAAAUCUGAACCCAUAUGCAUUAGAAAGGACGAACAACAAAGAAUCGAAAAAAAUCAACAAUUUAAUCUGCUGAAAGCAAAAAAAAAAAUGAUGAAGAAAUCCUCCUACACUUUCAUCAUUGAGGGAGUGAAAAUAUGGAGAGAUUAAGGGAGUGACAAUAGGAAGAGAAACGUGUACUUGAGUGUUGAAGCUUUAUGUAUCUGGAACAUUGGGGUUUGGGAGGAAAAAGAUGGAUUUUGGAAAUAUUUUGGAAUGGUAGGAAUAAUGGAAAUUGUGGAAAAUAAAAGUGUGUAUAUAGGUAAUUUUUCUGAAAAAAUUAGUAUUUGAGCCAAGUUCUAAUAUUUGAAAAAAUUUAAAAAUAAAAAAUCGCCCUAAACUUUUAUAUUUUAUCAAAAAAACACCCAUCACUUAUUAGUUCCAACUAAUAUCUAUCUACCAAAUUACUCCUUUAAUAACUAAUAAAUAUUCCUCUCUAUUAUCUAUAUAUAGAACGUGGCUAAGAGAAAUUUUUGUUUUUAAUAGAUUAUAAUUCAUCCUGAAUUAGUGACAAGUUUGAGUAUGCGAUUAAUAUAUUGCUCUUGUCAUAUUGUUGAUUGUUAUCAUUAUAAGGUUAUUUUUUAACAAAACAUAUUCAUCAUAAAAUGAAAAUUCAACCUUAAAGAUAUUUUAAAUAAUUUUUAGAACUUAUUGAUACAAAUCAUAUUUUUUGAAAUGAUCAAAUGUUUCUUCUGAAAUUUAUGGACAAACGUUGUAUCAACAAUAAUGAUACUUGAUCAUAUAAUUUAUGAUUGGUAAAAGGGUCUGAUAUACCCCUCAACUUUGCCAUUUGGAGCUGAUAUACUCCUUGUUAUGAAAGUAACUCAUAUAUACUCCUAUUGUUAUACAAAUGACUCACAUAUACCCUUUUCUUCUAACGGAAAUGAAAAAAUUAACUUUAAUUUAAUUUUUUAAUUAUUUUUUGGAAAAAAAUAUAAUCCAUAUGGGGUAUAUUUGAUCCUCCUCACAUGUAUUUUUUUUACUUUUUUGUUUCAACGACUAAUUUAAAUUUAUUAUUUUGAUGGUCAAAUAUAUUUAUUUUUCACUAAUUUUCUUGUAAAACUUAUUAUAGAUGCCCAUUUUAUUUUUUUUACAAAUACAAAAAUUUAAUUACAAUAUAGCUGAAAAAAAUAGUUUUAAAUUUUUUCUUUACACUAAAGAAUGACUGAAAAAAAAGAAUAAGAAACUCUAAUAAUGAUAAUCAAAGAAGUCAAAAAAUAAUUUUUGAAUGAAAAAAAUUAAAAUAUACCUUGAACUUUGCUAGAAGGAUCAUAUAUAUAGCCCUACAUGAAUUUUUUUUAAAUUUAAAUUCAAAAAAAUAAAAUUAAAACUAAUUUUUUCACUUCCAAUAGAUGAAGGGUAAUGUAAGCUCCUUUCGUAAUAGUAAGCAGGGGCGGAUCUAUAUGUAUGUGUGGGGUGCCACGGCACCCAGUGAUCUCGGUUAAAAUUUCGUAUAUAUAUGUGUAUAUGUUUAAGAAAUCGUUAUAAAUAAAAGUUGCCACCCAUUGAACGAAUUGGUGAUUGGUGCCGUUGGCAAAAGACACAGAUCCAUGCACCCGCAAUGCAGGUCCAAUUCUCACUCUCAACAUUAUAUUUUGGAUGCUUGUAUGAACUGAAGGCUUUCUAAGCUCUUUUUUUUUUUUUUUUUUCCUGUUUUUUCUUGUCUUUUUUUUUCUCGAUUGGUUCUUAUUUAUUUGGUACUAUUCUUUAUUACGUAAUUUAAAUUGACUCCUUUUUUCUGUGAUUAGUUCUUAACUUUUUUUAUUUUCUCUGUCACUAAUUACUGAUCUCUUGAUAUGAAUAUUAUGUGUUUAUUCUUUAUUAAUUAAUGAGUAUUGUAUUAUGAAAGUCACAUAAAUAUUACUACGAAUAUAUUUAAAUUGUUUUUUUUUUAAACAUAAGUUUUAAAAAAUGAUGAAUAUUAUUAUGUUUGAGUUCUUUUAAUUUUAAGGCUAUUCCGAUCUUCACGUUCUUGAUAAGUAAGAUGGUUGGGUUGAAACCAAUUUUUUCUCUACUAUAUUAUAUGCAACAACACAUAAAGACAAUGAAAUACGAAUAUAUUAAGUUAACACAAUUAGAUGGUUUAUACAAAUUUGAAAUUUUAAUGUGGAAAAUCUUUUCUUCCUCAAAGUUUUAGAGAAUGCCUCUAAAUCCAAAAAAAAAAGUUGAAUUGUUUAGUUAUCUCUAAUCUCAGAAUAACUAAAAGAAAAUAUUACUAACAUGCACAUUUAAUCAAUUUAUUUUAUAAAAAUAAAAAAAGAUAAAUAAUCCAAAUUGUAACCCAAAAUUAAAGGAACCGAUCCGUUUAUCUUACUUGGGUGAUGUGGCACCCACGACCUCUAAAUCCUAGAUCCGCCUCUAACAGUAAGGGUAUAUGUGAGUCAUUUGUAUAAUGAUAAGGGUAUCUAUGAGUUACUUUCAUAACGAGGAGUAAAUGACAAAGUUAAGGAAUAUAUCAGACCCUUUUCUCUUUAUUAUACUAGUAUACGUACCAGCGCGUUGCACGAAUAUUUAAAAAUAUAAUAAUUUUUAAAUUUAGAAAAUAACUAAUACAAAUUAUUAGUGAGUAACAAAAGUACAUGUGUAAUCAUAUAUAAUGUUUUAGUUUAUAUAUAUACGCUUCAUGCUAACACAAUUUUACCAUAAUUUAUAUCAAGUUUGUUUUUUGGCAGUUUUAUUUGACAAAAUUUAACAUAAUUAUUUAUCAAAUAAAAAUUAUGUUUUUCUGGAGGUAGUCUUUUUUUAAAAAAAAAAUCAAACUGAAAAAAUUGUUAAUUAUUUUGAUGAGACAUGUGGCUUUAUUUGCAAAAGUAUGAAUUUAUAGUAUUUUAAAUUUAUCCUUCUUAAGAAAUGAUAAUUCGAAAAUCAUUCUAUUACUAACAUAUUUUAUUUUUUUUACAACAUAGAGAUUUGAAAUAUUUAAAGUCAUUUUUAGAUAUAAUACAUGGAUUCACAAACCUUUUAAUCAUGGCAUGAGUCUGAUCUCUGUCUAAAUAAUUAUACACCAAUACAAAUAUAAAACUUAAUACUAUGUAGAAUUUAAAAAGAUAGAUAAAUAAAGACAAAUAAUAAUACAAAUUACAAAUUAGUAGUAUAAUUUUGAGAAAUUAUAUAAAAUUAUAUAUAAAAAUGAUAUGCAUCAACUCAAUGUUAACAUUUUUUUCCUUUGAAUAUUGUGCUAUUCAUGACGAAGACAGUACUUUUGAAAAGAAAAUUGCUUCAUUAAUAUGAGAAAUUGAAAAAAUAUGAUAGUGCGGAGGAAAGGAAAUGGAAAAGUGGGAAUAGUAGGUGGUUUAUAAAAUUGAUUCUUUGUUUUAUUUAUUUUUUACUUAAUACAUAUGCUCAAAUAAAAUGUUUUCUGUAAUAAUAUAUUAGGUAAGGAUAAAAUUAAAAAGUUAUAACAAUUUGUAACCACUUCAUCUUAUAACACUCUUCUCAAUUUUGAAUUAUUAUUAUUAUUUUAUUAAAAAACAAAACUUAUGCAUUAUUUUUAGUAAAACUAAUUAAAUUAUCAAUUCAAAUGUUAAAAAUUCUAUCAAAGACUUUUAAAAAAUUAUAAUUAUUUAUAAUUAUAUAUUUAUCUUUUAAAACUAAUUAAAUUAUUAUAUUGUUGUAAGUUUUCUAUGACUUAAAAAAUAAUCCAUAUAUAGGCCAGGCCACACGUAGGCAGUGGGAGAAUUGUUGUUGUUGUUGUUGUUGUUGUUGUUGUUGUUGUUGUUGUUGUUGUUGUUGUUGUUGUUGUUGUUGUUGUUGUUGUUGUUGUUGUUGUUGUUGUUGUUGUUGUUGUUGUUGUUGUUGUUGUUGUUGUUGUUGUUGUUGUUGUUGUUGUUGUUGUUGUUGUUGUUGUUGUUGUUGUUGUUGUUGUUGUUGUUGUUGUUGUUGUUGUUGUUGUUGUUGUUGUUGUUGUUGUUGUUGUUGUUGUUGUUGUUGUUGUUGUUGUUGUUGUUGUUGUUGUUGUUGUUGUUGUUGUUGUUGUUGUUGUUGUAUUUCUUAUUGUUGUUGUUGUUGUUGUUGUAUUUCUUGUUGUUGUUGUUGUAUUUCUUAUUGUUAUUGUUAUUAUUAUUAUUGUUAUUAGUAUUAUUAGUAUUAUUAUUAUUAGCAUUAUUAUUAGUAUUACUAUUAUUAGUAUUAUUAGCAUUAUUAUUAAUAUUAGUAUUAUUAUUAUUAUUAUUAGUAUUACUAUUAUUAAUGUUAUUAUUAUUAUUAUUAUUAUUAUUAUCAUUACUAUUAUUAUUAUUAUUAUUAUUAUUAUUAUUCUCCCCCUUAUUAUUAUUAUUAUUAUUAUUAUUAUUGUUAUUAUUAUUAUUGUUAUUAGUAUUAUUAGUAUUAUUAUUAUUAGCAUUAUUAUUAGUAUUACUAUUAUUAAUGUUAUUAUUAUUAUUAUUAUUAUUAUUAUUAUUCUCCCCCUUAUAAUAAAAAUGGAUGAUCAAAAAUGUUAAAAAUAAAUAAAUUUUAAAUUUUAAAUUAAUUCUUUUCAAAAUUAAUUAAUUUACCUAAGAAUAUAUACUAUCCAUAAUUGAAUAACCUUCUUAUAUGUUGCAUAUUUUAUGUUCUUGAACCUUUAAUUUUUUAAAGAGAUAUCCAUUUUUAUUUUUAUAAUUAUUUAAGAUUAAAAUAGAUUAUUAAUUUUUGGCGGAAUGGCCUAAGAGUCCCUUGUACUUGACUCGAUUUGUAAGUUGGAUCCCUAUACUUACGACUUUGCCAACUAAACCCUUAAACUCAUUCAAACACAAUAUUUUAGACCCCUUUCUCAUUCGAUGGGUGUGCGUGUAGUACACUCAUUUUACACAUGAAAUACCACGUCAUUUUUUAAUGACACAUCAUUAUCAUUAUUAUUUUUCUAAUGACACAUCAGAAAUUAAAUAUUUAAAAAGAAAUAAAAAAAAUUUUAAAUGCAUCUCUCUCUCUCACUCACUCACUCACUGUACUCAUUUUACCCCCUUCCCACUUCAUCUUCUUUGUUCCCACCUUCUACCAUUUUCAUCCCAAAAAUAAAAACUACAAUUUUCAUCUUUCUUCAUAGUUCACACUUAAAAAUUUCUUCAAUCACAAAAUGUGAUAGAUUAUAAUUAGUUCUUGCAAAUGCUUUAGGAUUCUAUUUAUUUUGAUUUGAUAAAAAGAGAUAUCAAGAAAACUUCAAAUUGAAAAAAAUAUGUGUACAUGUAAAUUCAAGUAAUAGAUCUUAAAGAAUUAAGUUUAUAAAAAUGGUGAAUAAUAUAUUUUCUUGCAAAAAAAAAUUUUAAUUUUUUAUUUGAUGAUUUUAUUGUGAUAAUGUGUACGUCAAAGAUGAAGAAGAAGAAGAGAAAAGGAGUAGGGGCGGGGUAGGGUGGGGAUGGGGGCUGAGGUUGAAGAAGAAGAAGAGAAAAAGGGUGGAGUUGGGUGGGGGCUGAAGAAGAAGAAGAGAGAAGGGGUGGGGUGGAGUGAAGAAGGAGGUUUUCAAUAUUUUUUUAAAAAAAUUAUUAUUAUUGUUUGUCUUAUAAUUUGAUAAAUUUUAAAAUAAAAAUAUUGUAUUCACUUGCUUCAAAAUGCGUGGGGUCACGUAUUUGUCCAACAUAAGCUCGGACAAUGAUUAGAGGGGUUUAAAAAAAUAGAGUUUCAUUGAGUUUAAGGGUUCAUUUGGAAAGGUGAUGAGUAGAAGGGUUCAACUGACAAACGAAGCCAAGUACAGAAGCCUCCCAGGUGAUUCUGCCUUAAUUUUUUCGUGUUUAUUAUUUUGAGUGGAGAUAAAUGAAUUAUUAUGUGCCUAUGAUUUAGGAGAAGAGAUUCUACACUUCUAGGAGUAUUUAAUUAUUAUUUUUUCUUAAAACGUAGCUAUUAAUUAAUUACCUCAAUUUUUGAAAUUCAUCAUUAAAUUAGUGCUCAGAAAUUUAAAACUGAUCUCAAAAAUUUUAAAAAUUAAUUGUAAUAACUUUUGGAGAUAAAUUAAUUAAUUUAAUUGUUAUAGGAGAAAAAAGUUAAUCUUGUAAUUGCUAUUAAUAAUGGGUAAAAAAAGUGAUUUACUCUAUUGUAGUAAAUCAUUUAGUGAGUAUAGAAAUAAAUUUUAAAUUAUAUUGUAUUGAAUAUUUAUGUAAAACAUUGUUAAUAGUAUUCAUAUAGAUUAUCAAAAAUGUAAAAUUAGAAAAUAAAAUCUCAUUAAAUAUAUAAACAAUAAUUAUCAACUUAAAGAUAUUAAGAAGCAUGAGAUCUUUACCACAUUAUGAUAUAUUUUCCAUUAAUAAAAUAAAAUAAAUACAUAGAUUUGGUUAGCUUAUAGAUGAACUUUUGGUAAAUAACUUUUUUUUAUAUUGAGUCUUUAUCUAAUAAUAUCAAUUGCAUCAACAACAAAAUAAACAAUAAUUUUAUAAGAUAUUAUUAUAUUAUCAAAUGAAUGCUACACUUUCAGUAUGUGUAGAUAAUAACUUUGACAAUAUUUCAAAAAUAAGAAUAAAAUUCAGAUUCAAAUUCAAGAAAUUCACACACUAAUCAACCUGCAAAAAAAAAAGUUACAAUCAUUAAAAAUAAUUAAUAAAAAUAGAAAAAAGAAUCAACAAAAAUUAACGAUUUACAAUAAUUAUUGAAAAUAGAUUUUAAUGCUUAAAAAGUUGCAAUAGAUAAAACACAUACACAAAUCUCAUGAUAGUGUUAAUUCUAUAUAUGAAGUUUAUUAUAGUGAUUUUUGUCUCAACAACUACGAAGUCACAUUAAAAGAAGGAGCAAAAUUAAAUCGUCAAAAGAAAAACGAAAAAACGAUAUCAACUUUAAGUAGUAUUUUUCAACAUUUCAAGGAUAAAGAAUAAUAUCAAUUCAACUAUAUAAUUAAAACGACAGAUUAAUUAAAAAUAUUGUAAAUUACUUCUAGUGAUUCGGAAUACCAUAAUCAUAUAACACGAAUAUUCAACUUUUAUUGUAUCUUCAAUAGUUCAUGGACAAAAUAAUUAUGUAAAACUAUAAUUUAUUGAAUACAUUAAAUAAUUAUUAUUUUUUAUGUGUCAAGCUGUAUUAAUUAUACAAAAAUCUUCAUAUUAUCUCACAUCUUAUAUAAACAAAUAAUUAGAAGAGAAUAUUCAUAAAAUUGCAUGGUUUUCACAACAUACAAACGUGGAAAUAAAAUAACCGGCAAAAUUCAAUUUCUAUUCAUGCGAAAUUUGAUCACAUUGGAAUACUUUAUAUACUUUUAUAAAUAAAAAAAGUUAAGGAAGAAACGUAUUCACCAAUAGAUAGAAGAACUAACUAACAUGAAUUAAAGAGAUAUUUAUAAUAAUAAUAAAAAUUAACCUGAAUUAUUUGCUACACAUCUGAAACAUUAAUAAGUAAAAUUCAUGGAGUUUCAUCGUUCAUCUCUUUUUCUGCCAUUUGAAAAUUUUGAAUAUUAGCAUGUCCUAUGAGAUAUGAAGAGAAUUGUGUUUUAAAUAGAUAACUAAGAAGUUUAAACUCCUACAAAAUAGUGAGGAAGUUAAAACUAUUUUCACAACUGCAACUUUUAUCUCUAAAACCGUUUAAUAUUUAAUUUUUAAAUUCAAGUCUUUUAAUUAUUUUAAAAAAACGUGUGUAGGUGUGUUUAUGAGUUAGUGGAGAUUUUUUUUUUAGUUGAGAGAUGGUUUAAAAAAUGUGUUACAACUCUAUUUUUUUAUUACUUCAAUUUUUUUAAUCAGUAAAUAUAGAAUAUAUAUAUUAUAAGUUGUAUUUUUUAAAAAUAUAUAUGUUUAUUUUAAAAUGCAAAUAAGAAAAAAUAAACAGUUACCGUGUUUAAGAUAAUUUUUAAAAUGUUUAAAAUUUUGUGUAUCAAUAAAAAUGGUUUUGCAGUUACAUUUCCCUUAUUUUAAAAAUUAUUUUAAAAUUAUAUAGAUUUAAUUCAUUUUAGAUAUAUAAAAAAUACGCUUUUUGUGGUGCUGACAUGUAGGCGCUAUCACCUCUCAUAUUAUAUAUAGAUAGAUACGUGCUUUGUCAAUCGUAUAAAUGCAAGGCGUCAUGCAUGACAAAAGAAUUAUCCUCAAACAUGUUUUUGUAUCUUUCUUUUGUGGGAAAUUAUAUUACAUUCAAACAUGAAAACGGUAGUGAGUUUGAAUUGUAUAAGGAAUAAACAAAUUCAAUUUAUUAUUGUUUUUCAAAAAAGAGAAUAAAUCAACCGUUUGUAACGAACAUGAUUUAAAAACUGUUUUAAAAUUUUAUUUAGUUUUUAUAUUAUUGUUUAUUAUUUAAUAUGUAUAGAAAUUAAAUUAUUAUUAAUUAUUUAAUAUAAUUAGAAAUUUUGUAGUGCCGACAUGUGGCACUAUUUCCUCUCCUAUUAUAUAUAGAUAGAUACGUGCUUUGUCGAUCGUAUAAAUCCAAGGCGUCAUGCAUGACAAAAGAAUUAUCCUCAAACAUGUUUUUGUAUCUUUCUUUUUCCUCUUUUUUCAAUCUUUACAUGCUCUUUUUAUGGUACACUUUGAAUAAUGGGAGUGACAGUGCCACUUCAUGCAUUACGUUCCCAUUACAAGGAAACUUCUUUGAUUUUAUUUCUAUUUUUUACAAAAAAAAAAAAAAAAACUUAAUUAAUUAACAUUUUAUAAUUUAAUUGGUGAGUUCAAAUUGUCAUUUAGAGCUGAUAUAUUCUUCGUUAUGAUGACUCAUAUAUACAUCUAGCUAUUGUUACACAAAUGACUAACAUAUACCUUUUACCUCUAACAAAAGUGAAAACAUAUUAAUUUUAAAUUAAUUUUUAUUAAUUUCUUAUUAAAAAAUCCAUGUAGGGGUAUAUUUGAUUCUUCUCACACUUUUUUUUUUACUUUCUAAAUUCAGUGGCUAAUUUAAAUUUAUUAUUUUGAUGGUCAAAUUUUUUUCCACUUAUUUUCUUGUAAAAUUUAUUAUAGAUGUCCCAAUUUAUGUUACGAUAUAAAAAAAAUUAAAUUACAAUAUAGCCGUAAAAAGGUAGUUUUAAUUUUUUUUUCUCCUUUUUCAUUCACACUUUUUUUUACACUAAAAAUGAAAGAAAAAAUGAAAUAAGAAUAAGAAAUUCAAAUAAUAAUAAUCAAAGAAGCCAAAAAAAUAAUUUAUGUGUGAAAAAUCAAAUACAUAAAUAUUUUAAUUAUUAAAAAUAAAAAAACAUUAAUUUAAAAUUAUUAUUUAUCACUUUUUGUAGCGGUAGGGGUAUGUGUGAGUCAAUUUUGUAAUGAUAAAUGUAUAUAUGAGCCACUUUUACAGCGAGAGUUAUACCAGCUCUAAAUGACAAAGUUAACGGUAUACUAGACGCUUUUCCCUUAAAUGUAAUUAGUUACACUCUAUUAUAACAAAUAAAUAUAUAUCUUUAUAUUUGAGCAACAAAUAGAAUAAUAAUAUUUUAAUUUACAUAAUCUAAAAAAAAUUGGUGCGAGGGCAAAUAUAAAUUAUUAAUUUUGAAACUAUUAAAUUUAAAAUAUUACUCUCCAAUCUGUAUUAAGUGAUGUUUUUAGCUUAAACCGAUUCAGGAGAGAAGGUGUGAAACCUAAAAGGAGGAGGAAGACUCCACUUCAAUUCAACGUUCUAAAAUAAUAUAAUAUUGACAAGUACUUACACAUCUUCUACGUAAUUUCCCAAUUUCUUGUAUUAAGUGAACAUAUUCUACAGUUAAGUCAUGCUAUUCACACUUGCUUCUACACUAUACCCCUCACUUUUUGAUUUUUCAUAAAUACCUUGAUUAUUUCACAAUCUUAUUUAUAUAUAUAGAUAUACGUCAGAUUUAAUCUCAAAGGCAAUUAAAUAUUUAAUUGUUGAUGCAUUCAAGUUAUUUUGAUAUGAAAGUGGGCAAUUACUUAUUCUCAAACAAGAAUAAUGAUGGGAAUAGUCAUGAUGAUAAUAAUUCUAGGAAUAAUAAGGCAUCAUCAUUGAGGUUGAGAUUCAAAAAUUCGUGUUUGAGGAAGAAGAAGAGGAUAUACAAAUUGCGUAAUUGGUUCAUUGACUCAAUUUUAUUCAAGAUUGUCUCUCUCUUUGAAGCAAUUGUUAUGGUUUCUACCUUAGCUUUCUUCUUAUUCUCUUAUGGUUUUUGUAUUUGAUAUAUUCUCUGUAAACCAAGGGUUCAUUAUUAUUGGACAAAAGUUGAUAUCUAAUGGGGUGUAAGGUUCAUUUGAUUUAUUUAGUUUUCUUUGCUGAUAUUCUCGUGUUUAUACACUAGGGUUCCCAUUUUGCCGUUCAGUUUUUCGAUUUCGACGUUUUCUUUAUUGUUCAUGACUCAAUAAAAUACAUAAUUCAAUAAAUAAGUAAACAACUUAUAUAUAAUAAAUUCGAAGUAUGAAUUCAAGUAAUUACAACAGUUGGGUUUUAAAAUGUGUCAAUGAGAAAUGAAGAGUUGUGACUUUUAUGAAAGGUUGUGACCUUUCCGAAAGAUUGUGGUUUUUCCAAAAGGUUGUGGCAUUUUCGGUAAGGUACAAUAAGAUCAUUUUCACACUACCCUUUGUUUUAUUAUAAAUUGAGGGAUUUCCUCUCAUUUUAAGAGAACCAAUUUUCUGGACUUCUUCUACUAUUACUACUAAAUCUAGUAUUCUAAGUGUAUAUUAUUGUUGUUGAGUGGUUCGCUGACACCGUAGUUUUAGGUACCAAUACACCGGUAAGUAAGAUCGUUCUAUUCUGGGAGGAUAUAUUUCAUUAACCUCGGGUACUUGAGGGGAAUAAUUUCCUUAAGGGGACACUGUGCAUUCAGUGGACUCAAUUUUCUUCUUUAAGAAAAUAUUUUGUAUAUUGUUUCUAAUAUGUUUCUGAUUCUAUUUUCUCUACUAGUUUUAAUUUUCUAGUUUUGAAAAUACUCUUUAAAUGUUGUUGUUUCUUAUCAAGUUCUUCAAAGUUUUUGUUCUAAGUAUCUUAGGAAUACAACAUGACCAACAAUCUUAAGGCAAUUAGUAUAGUACUAUUAAUACUAGAAAACUUGUCCGCGCUUCGCGCGGUAUAACAAUAAUUUAAAAUAAACUUUUUAUAAAUUACCUAUUCAUGAAAUAUAAGUUGCAGUACUUCAAGUUCAUAUGAUUUUUUUUUUUGCCAAAACCCUUAUAUUCAUAAGUUAUAAUAGUUAAUCAAUAAUAAGAAGGACAUUAAUAUUUUGAUAUAUUAUGUUAGCAAAAUAGAAAAUUAAUGAAUCAGAAAUAAUUUAACAAUCUAAAAGUGAUUACUUUUAAAUCUAUAAUACAAUAUGAAUAAAGCUUGAAUUUUGUAGGUCAUCAACUUUUAUUGAAAAAUAAAAAUAAAACUAAAAGUAUAAUAGUACUAUGAAUGACCCAGUAUCGACUAAAAGCAACAUUGAUAUUAAUUUGCUCAAAUCAAAUAAUAAGAAUAUCGACUAAGAACAACAUUGAUACUGGGUCAUUCAUAGAUUAUUUCUUAUUAUUUGAUCUGAGCAAAUUAAUAUCAAUGUUGCUUUUAGUCGAUACUGGGUCAUUCAUAGUACUAUUAUACUUUUAGUUUUAUUUUUAUAUUUCAAUAGACAUUUAAGAACAGCAUUGAUAUACUUAUAACAUAUAGAUAUCGAUCUUUAGUAGAAGAAAUAAUCUAAGAAUUCAAAAUAAAACGAUAAAUCAAAUUCUAUUUAUAUAUUAAAAAAAUACAUUUUUUAUGCAGUUUAUGACAAUUAAUUUUUGAAAUAAAUAAAGAAAUAAAAAAGUAAAAAGAAAAAAGAAAUGAUUUAAGGAAAUGAUACACAUAACAUUAUUGAUGAAUUUAAGGAAAGAAAUUUAAAAAAUUAAUAGCAUCAAUGAUGAAAUGAUUUAAAUAUGGGCGUAUUUGAUAAUUCAAUAAGGUUUUGAGGUAGAAUUUUUAGUCUUUCCAAAAUUUGGAAAAGUAUAAAAAAAAAUAGAAAAAUAAUAAAUAAACUUCCACAUAAUUUUUAACAAUUAGUAAGGAAAAUAUAACAGAAAAUGUCAAAAAAAAUUGAUUAAAAUAAACAAAUAUCUGAAAUAAGAAGGUUGUCAUCUUUUUCUAAUUUUAAUUUUAUUAUUACGCAUAUAUAUGAAUCUUUAGCCGAAAGAAGCGAUAUAAAUUAAAAAAGUUAAAUUUCAUAAAAAAAAAAUAUAUGUGAUUCUUACCAUGUUAUAAUUACUAAUUUCUUGUAAAAAAUAAAUUAAAAAAGGUAAAAGAAUUAUAAAAAAAAAAAGCAUUAAGGAAAUGAUAUGAAUGAAAGUAAUAAUCAAGAUGAAGUAAGAAAAAAUAAUAUGAUUGAUGAUGAAUGGAAUUAAAUGUAGUCACUUUGAUAUUCACUAAAAUUUGAAAGUAAAAUUUUCAGUUUUUUAAAAUAAUUCUUUUUAUAAAAUUUAAAAAACGAAAAAAAAACAAUAAAAUAAAACAAACUUCAAUCAAAGUUAUAUUAAAGAAAUAAAACAAACUUCAAUUAAAUUUCUUCAAUUAAAGUUAUAUAAAAGGGAAAAAAAACUACAAUUAAAGAUAGAUAGGGAAAAAACAUUUUAAGAGAAAAAUAACAAAAAAAAACGGAAAUUAGAAAUAAAUGACAAAUUAAAGUCUAUUUCUGUAUUAAAAAAUGCAUUUUUUAAAAUAAAGUUAUAACAAUUAAUUUUUAAAAUAAAUAAAUAAAAAGAACAAAGAAAGGAAAAAAUUAAUUUAAGGAAAUGAUAUAAAUUACAUUAAUGAUGAGUUUAAGGAAAGAAAAUUUUAAAAAUUAAUAGCAUCUAUGAUGAAAAGGAUUUAAAUAUGGUCAUAUUUUGAUAUUCUGCAAAAUUUUCAAGGUAAAAUUUUCAUUAUUUUUAAAAAAAUAGGAAAAAUGCACAAAAUAAGAAUUAGAAAAAUAAAUAAAUAAACUUCUAGACACAAUUUUUAGCAAUUAUUUUAAGAAAAUAUAAAGAGAAAAAUGUCAUAAAAAUAUGAUAAAAUAAAUAAAUAUAGGUUGUCAUCCUUUUCUAAUUUUAACUUUAUUAUUACGUAUAGAUAUGAAUCUUUUAACAGAAGAAAUGAUCUAUGUUUAAAUAAAAUAAACUAAAUUUCGUAAAAUAUAUAUGCAAUUCUUACCAAUUUAUAAUAACUAUUUUCUUGUAACAAAAAAAUAAAUAAAAAGUAAGAAAGAAAGAAAGAGAAAAAAGCAAUUUAAAGAAAUGAUAUAAAUGAGAAUAAAGAGAUCAAACUAAGGCAAGGAAGUAAAAAAAAAGUAUGAUUAAUGAUGAAUGAAAUUAAAUAUUCAAUAAAUUUGAAAGUGAAAUUUUCAGUCGUUUAAAAUUAAAAAAAAUAUAUUAAAUUUAAAAACAAAAACAAAAAACUACAAAAAUAUAGACAAACUUCUGUUAAAAAUAUAUAAAAGAUAAUAAAACAAACUUUAAUUAAAGAUAGAUAAGGAAAAAUAAAUAAUUAUUAAUUUUGAAUCUGUCAACUUAAAAAUGUUACUCCCUUAAGUCAUACUAGGUGAUGUUUUUAGCUUCGAUAAAUCUAAAAAAGCAUGUGAAAUGUCAUUAAAAAAAUAAUUUAAUUCAACGAUAUAAAAUAAUAUUAACAAGUACGUACAUAUCUUCUACGUGAUUCCCACUUUCUUUGAAUUCACUAUCUCUUUCCUAAAGGGUGCAAUUAAGUCAUGCUAUUCAUAAAGGGUGCAUCCAGCCCCCCACUUUUGAUAAUUCAUAAAUACCUUUUUUCCACAACCUUAUAUAUAGGUACACCAAAACCCCCUCAUUGCCUCAUCAAACUCAUCAUCUAUAUUGUUCUAUAUCCAAAGAAACAAACUAAGUCAAGAAUCCAAGUGAAAAUAGUUGUUACAUUCAAGUUAUUUAGAUAUGAAAGCAGAAGGUUAUUUGUUGUCACUCAAGAUGCUAAACAAGAACAAUAUUGAAAAUAUUAGCGCGCCUAAACGUGUUAGCAAUGUUGGUGGUUCUCAAGAUGAAAAUAAUUGUAGUACUAAGACAUCAUCGUUGAGGUUGAGAUUCAAGAAUUCGUGUUUGAGGAAGAAGAAGAGAAUAUACAAAUUGCGCAAAUGGUUCAUUGACUCAAUUUUAUUCAAGAUUGUCUCUCUUUUUGAAGCAAUUGUUAUGGUUUCUACCUUAGCUUUCUUCUUAUUCUCUUAUGGCUUUCGUAUUUAAUUCUUAUUUGUAUCUAUAUAUAUUCUCUGUAAACAAGGCUUCAUUUUGGACAAAAGUGGAUAUGUAAUGGGGUGUAAGGUUCAUUUGAUUUAUUAAUUUAGUUUUCUUUAUUGAUAUUCUCAUGUUUAUACACUAGGAUUCCCAUUUUUCGAUUUAGACAUUUUCUUUUUUGUUCAUGACUCAAUAAAAUGCAUACUUAAACAAA
rnacentral:lncRNA from 1 species